rnacentral:lncRNA from 1 species
AAGUGGACUUCAUUAGAAGGGAAACUUGGGCGAGUUCGUGGUAAUUCAUGUUUUGGAAAGUAACAGCGCUAAAUGCACAAU